rnacentral:SRP_RNA from 1 species
GCUCACCAGAUGUCUGCCCUAAGUUCGGCAUCAAUAGUGUGACCUCCUAGGAGUGGGGGGCCACCAGGUUGCCUAAGGAUGGGUGAACUGGUCCAGGUCAGAAAGGGAGCAGGUCAGAACUGCCACACCGACUGGUAGUGGGACUGUGCCUGGGC